UCUGGUUGAAAAUCAUUCUCUUAAUCACAUUUGCACAAUAAUGUUGUGUAGCAAGUCUCAAAUCCACAAUGCCACUGCCCUCCUCAUUGUUGCACUGGUUGAACACGUAUCGAACAAGGUGGUCGGCCUCCUCAAUCCUCUUGUCCGUGAGCCACUUAUGUCUCAUGGGAGAGAGCAACUCGGAUGUGAUGACCUUCCUCAUUUUCUUCCAUUGCUCCCCGAAGGGCACCAUAACAGUGGUUAUGUACCCUUUGGUGAUGAGGAAGGUGGAGAUGCUGAGAGGCCUCGUGGCAAAAGUUGCAUCUUGUUUCUUCAAAAUUUCGCGGCUGAGAAUGGGGCAGGAGACGGGGAUGACAUGAACGUUUGCAAGACGAAUGCAAGCGAUUUCAGUGUUGCUUUCCUCCAUGAGCUUGUGUAUCCACCGGAAUGUGGGCUUGUUCAUGAGCAUCUCGGGGAGGUUGCCCACAAUAGGCCAAGGCCUUAGGCCCUUGGGAGUGGGAGGAAGUGGGUAGUGUUGCUUGAUAGCUUUGUUGUUGUUGUCGUUAAUCUUGCUUUGGUGCCAAUAACGCUUCAUUAAGAAACGCACCAAAGUGAUGGCCAAGCACAAUGUGAGGAAGCCAACAUUGGCUUCCAUGACAGCACAAGUAGAAAGAAGGGUUUUAGAGUUGAGAGAGUUUUGAGACUCUUUUGUCUCUCUCUUUUAUGUUUCUUUUGCUUUGUGAAAAAAACUUGGUCGCUAGAAAGAAAGUGUUUAGAACUCUAGGAGAGAUGAGAUGAGAGAGCUGAUGGUUCUAAUUUUAAAGCCCUUGGUGCCUCUGUAUAUAUAGCCUAGGGAUCGAGAAUGUGUUGGAGAAAUGAUUGCACGUGAAACAUAAACUUUCUUUUGUUUUUGUUUUUUUAUAUUUUGAUUUGGUGAAACGCGAAACUUAAAAUAUGGGUAUUAGGGCCUAACGCGUUCUUUUUUAAUUACAAUUUGGCCACUCUGACACCUUGAAUAGUUGGCUUGUUAAUGGUCUAAAUUUUUGUGGGGCCAAGCUGUUUCUUGUAAUCUUCCUUUGCUCGUCUUGCGGUCCGCCACAAAUCCAAAAAGGCAAGAUUUGCGAUAAAUUUUUACAAAAAAGUUCCUAGUAUGUGUUUUUCACUUCAACAAAUAUUACCUUAUUGAGUGAAUUUCCAUCCAUCCAUCAAUGGGAAAACACUCUAAUUUUGUGUAAAAUAUCCAUCAUACCUUUCUCAUAUAAGAUAGAUUAGUAGUUCGAUUUAUGUUCCACUAACACAUGCAUAUAUAUAGCAUGUAUGUAUGUCUAUAGCCACGGAAAUGCUAUGGAGGGUGUGCAUAUGGUGCCACCGUACAUGGCCUCUAAUUUUUUAGGACACUUGAAUUUUCUUACAUGUGUAAUUGCACAAUUAUGAUCCUAACAUAACUGCUUUAGUGAUUUCCUUUUACUUAUUUAUCAAAAUAACACAAAUUUCUCCGUAAAAUAGCACUAAGGAGCAUUAAACCCACGACCAUUUAAACAACUUCACCAUGUAAUUAUGCACAUCUUCAUGAAAAAGAAUUAGGUUCAUUACUUUUAUUUUUAUUUGGAAAUUUAAUUUAAAACCUUCGUUCAUUUCUUAACCCUCAAAUGCAGUAGUUGUCAACAACUCCACUUUCAUUUUCAUAUCCUCCAUUCUCUGCAUAUGCUCCUACCUAUAUACGCACGCAUACCACGUGGGUGAUGUGCCUGGUUUAAUGAUGACAAUAUAUAUAUAUAUAUAUCAAAGAACCGUCCUUAUUUAGAAGCAACUUCCUUCUUUAGAAGCUUCAAAUAGUGCCUGUCAAUGAUUAUCAACUCCGCCACGUACACCUGGCAUAUGGGUUUCCUACAUACAGCAUGUUAUGCAACUACAUUUAAUAUAUAUUAUAUUUGCUCUCCCAUAUGUUUCCACAACGCAUCGCACACAUAGCAUGCUUGAAAGCACAUGUUAUAUAUGCAGCCUCGCACUAGAAGGAGAAAAAAAACAUAAAAUCUCCAUAUGUUUCCUACUGUUUUGCCUGCUCCCAUAUGUUUCAGAGUUUUGAAAUCAAAUGCUGUGUGUGUGAAACGAAUGGGAACACGUUUCUUCUUUGUGGUGACAGAUUUCACAUGCCACCCCCAUAUGUUUGUUUUUAAUCGUACCCAAGUAAGGUGGCAAUGCUAUUCAUUACUAAUAAAUAUGUAAAUAAAUUGGGAGCACUUAUUUAUUCACUCAGACAAAUCUUGCACUGAUCAUUGUCGCAUUGUGGCCAUGAAACAUAUGGGAGAGCAUGCAAUGGACUGAAUGUGUGAACCACGGCUAGGUUCAUUGUCACUUGUCCAGAUUCAUCAACAAUACUACAAGUUAUCGAGCUAAAAUUCUCAUGGGACGGAACCUCAACUUCCUUCACUUACUGUGCAGUAAAAUAUAAACGAUCUCAAACAUCAAAGCAUUCCUAUUACUAUUAUUUCAUGAACCUUGUUGUGGCUUAGAUGCCCUAUUGUUGUGCCUUAGAUGCCCUAUGGAGCAACCAGUUGGAGCCACCACCACAAAUCCCCAUAAUUGUCAAUGACCUGGCUAGUGGGUGAAUAUGGACAAUUUCCCCCUAUAGGCUAUAGCAAUUAGAAUAUAAUACUCAUUCCUAUUCGUUACACUAUAAUAUAAUAAUGGCCAUUGUGUACACAUUAUUAGACUAUAUAAUAAUAAUAUUGCUUCUUUUAUUGAUACAAUAUCACAUUCAAACAGUGGAACCUUCCACUUCUGCUGGUAUAUUUAUGCAUAUUCGCAUAAGUUGAAAAGAGUUUGAUAUCGACUAAAUGUUGGAAGAAGCUCUCUCUGUGAUUUGAUCUGGACAAUAUUGAAGAACCUCUUUCUGUUGGAUUUUCAAAAUAUAUGUAUAUGCACAGUUAUUCUCUCAUCCAAAUGUCUACACGUUAUUAUAUAUUGUGUGAAUAUCAUUAUAAAUAAGAACAAAAAUAAAAAGGAUAAUAGAAAAAACAUGACGUCCACAUAAGAGAAUUUCUAUAUAUAUAUAUAUAUGUGUGUAUGAUAUAUCGUAUUUUCCAAGCAAUCAUUUCUUUGAAACUAGUAAGGAUAAUUACUGAAAGGACAAUGCUUAGCUCCUGAUAUAUCAGAAGUCAUUCCUUCUCAAUCAUGACUUGGGCUGCUUAAAAAACCAACAUGUGUAUUUUAUUUUUAUUUUUUCCCUUUCCCUUCCCCAACGCUUUUUAACUCAACCUUUUGGCUGGUUUUAACUGCAGCCUCCUCAAAGCCGCCACCACCCUUGUUCUGAAUCCACCCUCAUCACCAACCUCGCCCUGUAAACCUCCGGCCAAUUUUGGAGCCCAAGACCCUGGAUUGAAAUCAUUAUGUGCUUUCAAUUUUUGGUUUUUGAUUUGCAGCUAGAGCAGAGAGGAGAGAGAGAGAGAGAGAGAGAAGAAAAAAGAAAGUCGGCAGGCUGCCUUAUCGGUUCAAUGGCGAGGUUGGUGAUGAGGAUGGAUUCGGAACAGGGGUGAUGGGGAGGCUGCAGUUCAAACCAGCCAAAAGGUUGGGGGACAAGGAAAGAGGAAAGAAAAAAAAACACGCGUAUUAGUUUUUUAAGGAAUCCACAUCAUGAUUGAGGAGGAAUGGCUCCUGAUAUAUCAAGAGCCAAGCAUUUUCCUCAAGCAUUGUCCUCAUUGAAAUUACUUGAUCCCAUGUACUGUGUCAUCAUUUGAUCCCAUGUACUGUGGCUCUUCCAAUUCCAUAACUCUUGGUCUCUUUUGCCAGGGGCUGUUGUUGGCAUUCAGUAUAUCUGAGUCAUCAUUUAAUGAGACACAUGUAUCUCAACACAAUGGAGCAUAACAAUUUAAGGCCAUAAUAUUCUGGUUUAAUUUCUAACAGUUUUCCUUGGAAGAAGAUAUACCAUAUGUUUCAUGUUCGAGCCUCGUAAUAUUAUAAUUGUUCGUGUGAAAAAUCUUUUUUUUUUUAUUUUAAUAAUUUAAAAUUAUUACUUGUAUUAAAAAAAAUUAUAAAUAAAAUAAAAUAAAAACCAACUUUGACAGUAGAAUAUUAGUUGCAUGGCCAGUAAAAAAACAUCAUAUCCAAGUUAAAUAUUAAACUUACAGAGAGAAACAGCUGGCCUAUAAUCAUUUGCUUUCAAAUAAUUGAUUUGAUCACAUCAAAAGCAGAUCUUUGCAUCCCAUUAAAUUAAAGUACUAAUUUCUUCUUCUUGUUGGGUGCUUUAAAAUAUUCGUUUCAAUUUUCAUAUGUUCUUACACUCUUUACCCAAAAAAGAAAAAGAAAAAAAAAAACUAAUUAAGUCACCCGAAUUGUCCUUUUCAACAAUAUUAAUAACAAUUGCCAGCGUUAACAUAUGAUAACUGAACAACAUGCACAAAGCAUGGGUUCCAGAGAAAACAGUUUGGUUUUAAAGUUUGAAAUACAUUUGGUCAGACAAAAUUGGUUGACUACCCUCCACGGGUUUUCUAGAAAACAUAAGGAAAACGUGGCGGUUUGGCAAAAUUAGGAAUUUUUCCAAACAUUUUGUUUUUCCGUUCCUCAGUUCUCGUACUCUACCUUUAAAAUCUAUACAUACAUAAAAUAAUUACAACGUGGGUGAAAUGAUGUUGACUUGUCCAAAAGACAAUAAGAAUUUUGCAUGGAUUUUCUCGUAUUUUGACAGUAUAUAAUUUCAAAAAUAAUAUAAUGAAGAAGAAAAAAAACACAGUACCUCAAACUUCAUCUUAAACCCCACAAAGAACAAAAUUAAUCAAGGAUAAUUAAAGUUAAUCAAGGGUUUUAUUUUACAAAUAGAUAUAUGUUUAAUUAGAUAAGCACAACCUCAAAUGAAUUUUGGAAAAGGCAUAUUCUCAUAAUCUUCCAACCAUACUAUAUAUUUAAAACUCCAAAACGGAAUAUUCUUAGAAUAUUCUAUAUUCAAAGCCUGUUCUUAUUCUUACAAUAUUCUAUGUUUUUUUUUAAAGUAUUUUUUAUUUAUGUUGUAAUCUUCUUUUAUUGUAUUCUUAGUUUUAGUACUGUGCGCUUUAUAGAUUUUUGUUUCUAUCUAACAUGCACAGUUUCGAUCUCUUGGACUCUUGCUGUUGGAUAUUAAUCCAAUGAUUUAAAAAAGUUUUUUAAAAGGAGUGUAAGAGUAAGUGAACCGUUGAAUUUACAUCCAACGAUGAGUGACCAUAAAUCUCUUGAACCCCCGUAGUCCAAGAGAUCAAAACUGCUAACAUGCAUAGUAACUUCACAUUCUCUUAAGAAUUUUUUAUUUUAUUUUAAAAAUAGUUUAUAUAUAUUCAAUAUUAGGGUUAAUUUAGAGAUCUCAUUGAGAUAUUUUUAAUGGUAACUUUCAUGAUAAAAAAGAAUUAUGAAGUUAAAAUUGUGAUAGGAUAGAUGUUAUUGGUAAAAAAGUAAAAAGAAGGAUAUGAAAUGAAAAUUAUAUGAAAAUUUUCAAGAAUUAUAUGAAAAUUAAAUCGGGAACUCUACAUUUUGGAGUCCAGUUAUUUCCACAUAUUUUAUGAGUAUUGGAUGGUACACCACCCCCGUAGUGUAUCCAAAAUACACAAAAAUUUCUCCAGUUCUUAGUAGUCCCUAUAUAUGGAGUUCUGAAAUUGAAACUUCAUAGAAAGAAAAUUUAUUAAAACCAUUGAUAUAAGCAUAUGCAUAUAUAUAUAUGUAUAUAUGUGUGUGUGUGUAUGGGCAGAUCCGUGACACCAAGUUUUGACACAAUUUUUAGGCCAUUAAAUUACUCCGCUUUUAAUGAAUGAGAUUAAAUUUGACAUGACUUUUUGACAUAAAAAAUAAAUUUAAAUGUUUUUCUCUCUCCUUUCUCUAUUUUCUCGUAAAGGUAAAUUUCUAUCACAAAAUAUAUUUUUUUCUCUCUCCUCUGUCUCUUCCCUAACUGUUCUCUGCUAAUCAUCUUUAGACGAGGCAGCCGUCGCCAUGAUGAACACUCCCAAGCACACCUUACACAAGGUCACCAAUACAAGAAAGGAAAUGAUAGCCUUACUGCCCAGCACCCAAUCAAGAGGUGGUGGAGAAAAGAAGGGGAAGAAGACCUCUCUUUCCUAAGUUCAUUGGUUAGGUUUGUAGUUUGUGUUGCUUUCUAUCUUGUUGGAGCUUUAAAGAAAAUAUGGUGGACAAGUCUUUAUUCUUAGUUGUUAUGUUAAACAUUGAAUUGUUCUGGACAAUCUUUUUCUGAUCAAUUGAGAUUUGAGUUAUAAUUCAAAAAAAUAAAAAAUAAAAAUCUAUCUUGAUGCUUUGUUUCUCUCGCUUCAUUCAGAAUAGACAUUCAUUCACUCUCUGUUUUCUCUCUCUAUCAGGUAAUGGUGGUGGUUGUGAUGGAAAUGUGUUAUGAGAAAUAAUAACGGGUUAGCAUAACUUAAUUAACAAAUUAUCAGUAGUAACUCUGACAACAAAAAGAAGGAGAAUGAGAAUGAGAGAUUGAUUAAGAGAAAAAUGUUCAUUCUACACGAGGGAUUUCAAAUUUUUUGAGAAAGAAUGAGAGAAAGAUCAAGAAGUUUUUUUGGUCUGAUAAAAGAAAGAGUUUAGCAGAAAGUGUUGAUGAAGAGAAAUAGGAGAGAGAGAAAGAAAAAUUGUGAUAGAAAUUUACCUCUCUGAGAAAAUAGAGAGAGGAGAGAGAAAAACAUUUUAAUUUAUUUUUCAUGUCAAAAAAUUAUGUCAUAUUUUAUCUCGUCUGUUAAUCUAAUGGCCCCAAAAAUUGUGUCAAAAAUAUGGUGCCACAGAUCCGUCCGAUCAUAUGCUUUCUCAUCCUCUCGAGGUGUUCUAUUUGUUGGUUGUGUUAUUUAGGAUUGAUUUCUGCGUUUAAGUUGUCAAAUAAGCGAUGGAAAUUUGGCCAAUUUUCGGCCUCCGAUUCUGGCCACUUCCGGUGAAUUUUUGGGGUAGGUCCAAGAACAAACGUUGCUCAACUCUAGGUGAUGAUCAUGUAGGUAUAAGUUUUGCCCGUCGGUUUAGAGAUUUUUCGAUCGCCGGAAUCACUUUGGGUACCCACGCUCUGUCGGCGCGUGGGCCACUAUUUGGUUGGUCUUAGGCUCCUAAAAUACUCCUCAUGUCGUCCCGAGCACGACGGAAUGCUCGGAUACAAAUUUGAAUAUCGUUUGAUAGUCGAUCAGAUAUCGCAUAUUAGGCGUUAUUCGGUUCGAUAUGUUCGGGCCAUUGGAUCGACUUCAAUUUAAUAUAUGUUAAUCUAGACACCUCUAGGAUCGUGUAAAAAUUCGCAAUUCGCAAAUCGGAACCCCAGAUGUUCCAAUUCAAUAAGGUAAAAUUGCGUUUUACGAUAAUCGUCCGAUCAUACGAUUGUGAGCGAUCUGACUAUUCGAUUAGGACCAAACUUGCAUGGUAGGUUUAGAAGAGUGUGUUGAACCUAUAGGAACUCCCGGAUUGGUGAUCAAAGGUCGUGGGCCUCGUGGGCCCGGUUGACCAAGUUUGGGCAGUUUAACCCUUGGUUGACCGUGAGUCUUCCAAGGUAGUUUCACCUUUGAAAAUUUGGAAUAUAUGAUUAUUAAGAAGUGAGUUGACAUUUAUUUUAAAUAUGCAUUAUUUUAAAUGAUUAAAGGAAUAUGCAUGAAAUAUAUUUUGGAAUAAAGAUUGAGAAAUUUGUAUAUAGUUAUAUUAGUAAUAUUUAAUUGGGAAAUUGUUCGAAUUAUUUUGGCUAUGAAUUUAUGUGUUAUGUCAAAUUAUUUGUGGAUAGGUUUGGAUGAAUUUUUGGUGGAUUGGGAUUAAAUAAAUAAUGUUGAUUAUUUUGAAAAUUAUAUAGUUACACUAUGUUAAGUACCAUCCCUUAGAUACUGGAUUUUCCACACGUGGCGUUGGAAAUUCCGGCGUGUGAAAAAAUAUGUGAUUAUUAGAUCUCACACGUGGCGUUGAAAUAUUCCGGCGUGUGAGACAUUGUGAUUUGUUAUGGAUUAUCACAAGUGGUGUUAGAGAAUUCAGCGUGUGAUAAUGUGGUCUGCGCGCGUGGAACUUAGUAUAUUAGCCACGUGCCAUUUUUCCUUAAUUUUGGAAAAGAGGAUAUUGUAUUCGGUGUGAUGUCGGAAUUUCCACAAGAUUCGUCUUGGGUUCCGAGGAAUUCGGGGCGAGUCCUGUCAACCAUCUUAAAAGAAAAUGAGAUGCAUCAGAAUUUGCAAUAAUCUUCAGGCUUGAUAUAUUUUUGAACUCCAGGCCAAAAAUAUCUUAUAUAUUUUACCCGAAACUUCAGGUUCGGGAUCUAAGACAUUAAGCCAUUUAUUAAUAGUUACUUCAGGCCCUAUAAUUGUUUAAGGAACUUCAGGCCCUCAUUAUUCAUGUAUAUUAACUGAAAAUAAAGUGCGAUAAAUAAAUUUGCUAGUAUGGACGAUAAACCCGUACCAUUCUUAAAUGUAAAUGUGCGAUAAAAUAAGUUCGUAAAGUAAAUUACUUGUUGUAUGAGGGUUAAUUCCGCACCAUACUUUAAAUAAAUGUAAAUGUUCGUAAAGUAAAUUACUUGUUGUAUGAGGGUUAAUUCCGCACCAUACUUUAAAUAAAUGUAAAUGUGCGAUAAAGUAAAUUACUUGCUGCAUGGGGGUUAAUUCCGCACCAUACUUUAAAUAAAUGUAAAUGUGCGAUAAAGUAAAUUACUUGCUGCAUGGGGGUUAAUUCCGCACCAUACUUUAAAUAAAUAUAAACAUACGAUAAAGUAAAUUACUUGCUGUAUGGGGGUUAAUUCCGCACCAUACUUUAAAUAAAAGUAAAUGUGGUUGUGUGGACGAUAAACCCGCGCCACACUUUUAAAUAAAUACUAUUGUAUGGGUAAUAAACCUACACCAUACAGUAAACAAAGUAAAUGUGGGGAUAAAACCACCACCUAAUAUAUAUGAAGUAUAUAACAUAUUAUAUAUUGUGGGCAAUAUAACUGCGCCACUAUUCAAGAUAUAAUAAGAUGGGUUUUAAGAUCACACCAUCAUUUUUAUUACAAUAAUAUGUGUUAUAACGAGAUGGGCAAUGAAAAUUACACCACCAUAAAAUAACAGAAUAGGGUAUAAAACGCACCAUUCCAAAUUACAGUACGAAAAAAUAAAUUAAACAAACAUGGAUGAAGCAACAUAAGAAUUGUGAAAAUACAAAAAAGAAAGUUUGCAUGUCGUUGUAGUAGUAAAGUGAGAGGAGACAUAUGGCAGAGAAGAGACAGAUAAAUAACCACAUAGUGUUGAGCUGAGAAAAUUUAGAAGUAAAAGGGAGAGACUAUUGUGCUGAUAACGUGUUAUAAAAAUAAUAAUCAGAGUAUGAAAAAUACCACUGAAUAAAAUAGGAUUGUAUUUGCUCUUAUGAUUUUUAUACUGACAGAACUUUCCCAUUCUGAUAAAACUCUUCUAAGAUAAAGCUCUUACACUCUCAAAUUUCUCUCUCUCUAUUUUCUCUUUGGAUUAGUGGUGUUCUACAAGUGAAUGAGGGAAGCCUAUUUAUAGACAAAUUGGAUGACUUCCCAUACAUCUUCAAAGUCUUCUUUUCCCAACAUCAUCAUUUUCUUAUUUUCUUUGUGUGGGCUCCAUCUACUCCCUUUACAACAAUCACAUGUUUAUUUGUUUUCUUCAAGAUAAAUAAACUCAUCUCAUGUUGUUUGAACCAGAGAUGCUCAUUGCCUUCAUGUUAUAAUGAGCCGACUGUAAACUUUGACCAUCUUGACUUCAAAUGGCCUGCCCAUUUGGGCCUAUGGAGUGGUCAAAAAGGUCAAAGCUAGCUUUAGCCAUACUCUAUUUUUGAUACAUGGAAGCCCAAGGUCCUAGCAGAUAUAGGAGGGGCUUGCAUAGCUUGCAUUGCAUGUGCCUUGCUUAAUGGCCCCAGGUCAUAUUGUUAAUGGGCCUCCAUGGCAGCUUAGAAGCUUUUAGAAUAGUUUCUGGUCUUAUAAGGCCAUGAGCCUCCACUAUAUGAGCCAGCCAAGAGUGAAAUGAAUCAAUUUAUCUUUUAAUGGAUUUCCUUUUUCUUUUACAUUUAUCUUUUAACUCCAACUUAGAAUUCUAUGAUCACAUGUUAAACUAAGUUGUUGGAUUGAUGUAGUUAUGUAAGCAAACUGACCAUAAUUCAUAUUUUUUUUCUAUUUAACUCCCGAUUAGUAGGGUCUAGACUAAUGAAAAAUGACCUUAACUUGUAUACAAGUAGUCUCAGAUUUGAACUCUAAAAACACCUUGAUAAUAUGUGUGAAACUCUCUAUUAUAAUUUAGACUAUCACUUAUAUUGAAGAAAAACAAAAACAAAAACUCCCGGCCCAGUUUCAAGGAGAAGAGAAGAAUCACAAUUUGGAUCAAUUGAUCAUCAUUCAGCAAUGCAUGCAACAAACUUUUGACCCAUUUGUCGGGCUUAGACUUUGAGAUGGAUCUAAAUUAUGGGAGUUGAAUCAUUCGGAAGUUGAACUUAAAAAAAAGAAAAAGAAAAAAGGAAGAAGGCAUUUUGACCUGUGCAAGAGAAAUGGAUGGGGAACUGGAUGGCCCAUUAUUUACUCACUCUUAACUUGAAACAAUUUUGACAUUUUAUGGUUCUCUGAAAAAUUUUAUACAAAAGAAAAAGAAAAGAUUCAAACAUAAUAAUGUCUUAUCAAUUACGAGGGGGAAUUCAAACUUAAAACCACUUAAAACGUUAAAAAGAUCUGUAGCACAAGUCCUCAAAUGCUAGUCGGCAACAGAUUAGUAAUGAAAUGAGUUUAUUAGACUCUAAAAGUAAGAAGUUAGUAACUACUCUUUAGUCUAGCAAUUUGUUUCUUUCUAAUGUUAGAAGAAAUUCCAUAUUCGAAUUAUCUCUCGCUUAAAAAGCACGUGUCCUAAAAGAAAUUAUAAAAAUUCCUAUAUUCUCCGUUCACCUACGCAACUUUAAUGUCUAUCUUCAUCUUUAUCUUUAUCUUUUACCAGCUUGAUACACACAAGUGCUAAACUUAAUCCCAAAAUUUCUCUGCAUAUAAUUUCUAAAAUUCAACCCACAACAUGCACGUGUACUUAAAACAAAACAAAAAGUAACUAAUACUAAUACACGAGUGGAGCAAAAAAAAUAAACGAGAAACCUUUUAACCAAACAAAGAAAGAAAGAAACCUAAUAAGCACGGAUGCGAAUAUCGAAUCAAAAUCCUCCGUGCAUUUUACACACAUGUCUCUUGCGCGUGAAAUUCUGGCGGUCGCACGGCAGUGCAUGAUCAGCGAUGCACAGUCAAUCCAUGCGAAAAUGUUGACUUUGACUGCAUUUACAUUUUUAUUAUUAUUUGUUUCUUUUUCUCCACACAAAUGCCACAACCAACCUUUCCAAUUGGGUAUUUUUACACCACAUAUUACGCCGGACUCUCACACGAAAAAUGAAGAAAUUAUUCAUUAUAAUAUAUCAGAAAAGUAUUUUGUUUAAAACUCCAAAUCCAAAUUACUUCCAAAUUUUCUCUAAAAUUCACCUUAAAUAUUGGUUAUUUAUCCAACAAAGUAGAACUUAUACUAUAUGUUGACAUUUUGAGGAUAUGUUCAUGACUAUAGCAGCAGCUAGUUAGUUAUCAACCCAUUGAAAACUAAAGGGUCAAGUAUGAUGAAAGUUGAAUUAACCACUAAUUAUAGGUUGAUUAUUUUGGGUUAAAUAUCAUGGUCAAACCAUUUUUUUUUACUAAUUCAGUAAACUUGCAGCCUUGCACUUUUAUGCAUGUGUCAGUGUCACCUAUAAGAAAACUUAUAUAUGAACCUGCAUGAUCGAGGUAUUAUUAUUAGAAUAUUACAAUAUUUGAAGUUCUGCCUUGUUUGCUUCCUAUCCAAAAUCUUAGUAUACCCACUUUCUAGGGUCAUAUGUAUGCUAAAGGAGGAAAACUAACCAAGAAGACCUUUAUGUUCAAGCAUAUAUGUAUGUAGGAUGCUUUUCCUUUUGGAUUCUUCAACAAAUAGGCACAUAGAAUGGUAUAUUUACAUAAAAGGAUAUCAAACUUUUCCUUCGGCAGAUGCAGAUAUGAACUUAAUUAAGUUGGCUGGAACGGAAAUAAAUAAAAUGAAAAUGAUAAAGUGUUGAGAAAGCACUUGCAUAUGGGUUAGGUUAGGUAGUAGGAGAAUAAUUAAGCUGUUAUAUAUGUCUGAGUUUUUUUAUUGCCACAAAGAUUUGGAAGAUGCUUGCUUCUAGAUUUGCAUGGCUGGUGGACAAUGCCCCUUUAACACGGUAUACGUCUAUGAGAUGACUCAUGCAUCUUCUAGAUUGCACGACUUUUGUAAAUAUCUCAGUACCAUCCUUCUCCCACCACUUGUCACUUAAAUUAAAAGAAAAACCUACCAUUAAUGCAUGUCAUGUGUACCUCAAAUUUCACACCAUACAAACAAUUGCAUUCUUUGUUGCUAGAAAAUGGCCACUUCCAAUUUUUGCAUCUAUUAAACAAGAAAACACUAUCCUAUUUGGUGUGGAUAAUCCUCAAGAAGAAAUUUGGGGUUCCUAACUUUUAAUAUGAACCGGCUGAUAUUAUAUUGGACAAAACAAUCAUGUUACUUUCAAAGUUUUAAUUUAAAUCGUCUAAUUUUAUUUAGAGUAUCGUACAAGUUAAUAAGUUAUAUACUCUUAACUCUUAGCACCUAAGUAUCUACUAAUGGACCACAUUAUUAUUUUAUGCUCUUAAUUAUGCAUAGCUUAAUGUAGUUUAUCUAACUCUUCUCUAUUCUUUUUAGAAAUUAUGGAAUUACAUUCAUAAUUCAAUCAAAAAAGUCACUAACAGCAAAUGACCAAUACAAACUAGGCAUAAAUGGCCAAUACAAACUAGCCACAAAAAGGGCAUUACAAUAACGGAACGAUCUAAUAUCAAAAUUGAGACAAUUUAGUGUACAUCCACUAACGAUCAUGCAUGAUCGAAAUUUUUUUGACAUAGGUAUCUCAACUAAAAUUGCAAACUCAGAACAAUUAAAUAGAGUUAAAGCUUGAAAAACCAAGCCAUAACAAUACAAAUAAAACUCUUAUAAAAAUAAAGGUAGAAAACUCUCACAAAAAGAGAGGUAAAACUCCCCUCUUUUUAUUUUGUCAUCUUAAAUUUUUAAUAAACGUAGGUACUUAUUGAAAGCGAAAAGGAACCAUAUAGUUAUGAAAUAUUUAAACCAAAAUUUCAAAUAAUUGCAAUAAUAAUAAUAAUAAUAAUAAUACGGAAAUUGUUAAUUUUUUACAAUAUAAGUAUAUUCUAAUAACUCAUCAAAUUAACAUUUAUAUAAUUGGUGGCGUAUAAGAGAGGAGCAGAUAUUGAAUUAGUUGAGGACAUCCAUAUCAACCGUUAGAGUGGAUAGAUGAUUGGAUAUGUAUUUUAAAUAAUGGGGAUAUUAAUUAUAUUGGCUUACAUACAAUUAAUUAAUUUAAAAUAUUUAAUUUAGUUAUUUCUUAAAUCGCCUCCGCUAUUAAAACUAGCAUAUAAAAAUAAAUAAAUAAAACUAUAGCCGCCAACCAGUCAAACCCACGAGCUUUGACCAGAAAAAAAUAUAAAUAAAAAACAAAAGAAAAUUUAAAAGAAAAAAAAGAAAGAAAAUGGCAAAAUAUUCAACGGUCAAAGCUCCCCUGAGCUUCUGAGAAAGCUCCCCAGUACAAAGAAGAGCCUUAUGCGAUACGUGACCAUCUUCUCUUCUCCACAAUCUCUUAUUAUUAUUAUCCAUUUUCAACACACAAAAAAGCUCUCUCUUUCACUAAACUCAAUUCUCUCUCUCUCUCCUUCUCUUUAUGGCCUCCUCUUCUGGGAGCUUAGACACUUCUGCAAAUUCACACCCAACCUUCACUUUCUCGACGCACCCGUUCAUGACCACCUCCUUCUCUGAUCUCUUAGCCUCUGGCACAGAUGAAGACCCCAGCACCAACACCACAGCUCGACAUGUUGGCCAUGGCGGGCUAGCAGAUCGAAUAGCAGAACGUACUGGGUCUGGUGUGCCCAAAUUCAAGUCUCUUCCUCCUCCUUCGCUGCCCAUUUCUCCUCCCUCCGUUUCUCCCUCUUCUUACUUCGCAAUCCCAGCUGGGUUGAGCCCAGCUGAGCUUCUUGACUCUCCUGUCCUCCUAAGCACUUCAAACGUAUGUAUAUGUUAUGUGUAUUUUGAAUAUCUGUUUUCUUGGGUUUUGCAACAUGCUCUGUUUGGGUUUCGAGAAAAUUGGAAUAAAGGGAAAGAAAAGUUAAAAAAGAAGUAGAUAUUUUUCAUUUCCCUUGAGACCAAAUGAUUGGACUUUGCUAACAAGGUUUUAACUUUGAGUCAAAGUCUUCUGGUUUUUUUAACUGUUCUUUUUGAGUUUGAUAAUUUUGCUGCUUAAUUGUUGGGUUUUGUUUGUUCUUCAAUUUUGUUUUGAUGUUUUUACUAAUGGGUAUUUCUUGUUUUGUGUUAUUGUUGGCAGAUUCUUCCAUCUCCAACUACCGGAAGUUUUGCAGCUCAGGCCUUUUGGAAGGCCAAUUCUGGAAACAACCAGCAGAUUGUUAAACAGGAAAGCAAGAACUACUCAGAUUUCUCUUUCCAAACACAAACAAGACCCCUCACUUCAUCAUCAACAAUGUUUCAAUCUACUAACAGCACAAUUCAAACUGUAUGUGGUGUGUUAUUUGUUCAAUUUUCACUUGUUUAUUUUUCUUUAUAGAUAUUCUGAAUUGUUUACUAAUUUGUUGCUUUUCUUUCAGGCACAAGAACAGGCAUGGAGUAACAGUUACUUUCAGGCACAAGAACCCCAAAAGCAAGAUGAUUUUUCCUCAGGGAAGAGUAUGGUGAAACCUGAAUAUGGUUCUGUGCAGAGCUUCUCAUCUGGAAUGGCCACCAAUAUCCAAAAUAUUAGUCAGGCCAAUGGUGGUUUCCAAUCUGAGUAUAGCAACUACAACCACCAACAAUCUCAGACCUUGAGCAGGAAGUCAGAUGAUGGGUUCAAUUGGAGAAAAUAUGGUCAAAAACAAGUGAAGGGAAGUGAAAAUCCAAGAAGCUAUUACAAGUGUACUUACCCCAAUUGCCCAACUAAGAAGAAAGUAGAGAGGUCUUUGGAUGGGCAAAUCACUGAGAUAGUUUACAAGGGCAACCAUAACCAUCCCAAGCCACAGAAUACUAGAAGAUCAUCAUCAAAUUCUUCUCAUGCAAUUCAGGCUUCUAAUCCCAACACCAAUGAAAUCCCAGAUCAGUCUUUUGCCAAUCAUGGUAACUCACAAAUGGAUUCCAUUGGAACUCCAGAAAAUUCAUCCAUUUCGAUGGGAGAUGAUGAUUUUGAACAGAGUUCUCAGAAAAGCAAGUCAGGAGGAGGGGAUGAAUUUGAUGAAGAUGAACCUAAUGCCAAAAGAUGGUAAGUUUGAUUUAUUAAAUGCAUGAACAAUAUUUUGUGUUUGAUGAGUUAAGUUGAAGUAUUUCCAUUGAGUUUUUUGGGUUUUUUGUGUGUGAUUAAUUAGUGAUUUUCCAUGAUUAUGCAGGAAAAAGGAAGUUGAUAAUGAAGGUAUUUCAGCUCCUGGGAGCAGAACAGUGAGAGAGCCUAGAGUUGUAGUUCAAACAACCAGUGAUAUUGAUAUUCUAGAUGAUGGGUACAGAUGGAGGAAGUACGGGCAGAAGGUGGUAAAGGGCAAUCCAAAUCCAAGGUAAAGCUCCUCUUAGUUAUGAUUUUGAUAUAUACUUUUUCGAACUUUUGAAAGAUGGAUUGCUUUGAUAAUUCAAUAUUAUUAUUGCCAUUGUUCAAUCUCUACCUAAUUGGACACUCUUCCCGGAAAACAUAUCACUAAAUUAAGUCUCAUUUUGUAAAGAAGAUAUAAAAAAAGUGCCAGACAAAGUGGAUUCUUUAUAUGUACCUUCUUCUAGAUAACAUCUUAGUUUCUUUUUAAAAAGACACUUUCUUCUAAAGUUUGCUUUUGAUGUGUGUGAAUGCUGUAAAUUUUCACUUCUUCCUUUUGGAAAAAGUAUAUUUCCUUUAAGAAACUAGAUUCUAUAACUUGUUUGCUAAAUGGGGUGUGUUUUAUUUUUGAAAUUGCAGGAGCUACUACAAGUGCACAAAUCCAGGAUGUCCAGUGAGAAAGCAUGUUGAGAGAGCUUCUCAUGAUCUUAGAGCUGUGAUCACAACCUAUGAAGGAAAGCACAACCAUGAUGUUCCGGCAGCUCGUGGCAGCGGCAGCCAUGCUUCUGUCAAUAGGGCUCUACCAAACAACAACAACAAUGUAGCCACAGCAAUGAGGCCUGUGGCCCAUCAAACUAACAACUUAAGGCAACAAACAUCAGAAGGGCAACAAGCACCCUUUACCCUAGAGAUGUUGCAGAGCCCCGAGAGUUUCGGAUUUGCAGGGUUUGAUAACUCUAUGGGGUUAUACAUGAACCAAGCGCAGCUCAAUGAGAACAUGUUUUCUAAAACCAAGGAGGAGCCAAGAGAUGAUGCAUUUUUUGAAUCAUUGCUAUGCUGAUAAAAAAAAAAAAACCGAUAGUCAUUACAAUAAGCGCACACACAGUCAGGUUCAUUCCAUUCAUUGCUUCUUUCUUUUUUGGUUUUUUGUGUUUGUACAUUCUUUUACAGGGAUUGAUUGUAAAUUCAAAACUUGUAUGGGCGUAGAAAGAAGUUUCUUAAUAUCUUAUUAUUAUUAUUAUAAUUGUUUUGGGGCUUUCUUUGCUAGCUCAGUUAGGGAGCCUCAAUUCAAUUUUUUUUGUACCCAUAUGUUUCAUUUUAGCUCAUAGUGUAUAACAACGAAUUUGAAUUUUAUCUUGAUGUUCUUGCAUUCAGCUCUCUCUCUCUCUCUCUCUCUCUCCUCAGACCGAAUUGCCAAUUAUCAUUCAGCAACAUCUGUACAAGUUGUGAGGCCCAUUUUUAAACUUAAGUGACCACAAACUCUCAGGCCAUGGCUUUUAAUUAGAUAUGCAAUUGUCAUCAGUUACAUCUUAAGCAGAGGUUUGAAUGGGUCAAAUAUGUCGGAGCUGGACAUUACAUUACUUAGUGCACAAGUUGGUCAAGGUCAAAUUUGUAUACUUUCUUUCUUUUUUAUAUUCACACAUGGAGUCUUCUGGGUAGGUCGCUUGGUGGGCCUAACUUGUAUUAUGCCGCGUUCACAGUAAUUGGGUCAUGGGUGGUAUAAUAUAGCCAUUCUGGUCUAUUCCAUGGCAAUUUGCUUUUAGUUAAAUUGCACAAAUCCUCUUUCGUUUCGGUAAUGUAGCUCAUAUGUCAACGUUGCUCGUAUGACAAAAAAAGAAAGUAAAUAAUAGAUAGUAGUGGUUUUAUGACCUACAAAUUUUGUUAAAAUUUUGAUGAAGAGUAGUGCUUUUGUUUGUUAGAAAAUACUUUUAAUAAUUUAAAAAGUGAUCACAAUGUGUAGUAGUGGUUUUAUAACUCAUAAACGCUUUAAAAUUUUUCUACUGACGAGUAAUUUAGUGUCAAAAAAUGCUUUUAAUUCUUUCAGAAGCAGUUUCAAACAAAUUCUUAACCCUAAUCGAACUUUCAGAAGUAAAAGAGUCAUUUUAAACCUUAUGUGUAAACCUAAGCAAAUAGACUGAAAUUGGUAACAAAAAAAGACAUAAUUAAGAGCGUUCUUCGCUGUAAAAGAGUAGCAUUCGCAUACAAUCCCACACUUGACAAUGACAUGGAUAAUUUGUGCAAUUUAACCCUUUUGUUUUUAUGUAUUUUUAAAAAGCAUGGGUGUGAUGAUAAGAGCAAGACACUAGCGUGAGCCACACGGUGCGAAGUUGGGGGGGAAUUGGGACCCAGAUGCCCGUUCACACAUACUCCCACUGACCGACCAAAGCAAUAGAUCCCUAUCUACAUUAUGUGUUGGUGUUUCUUAAUCCAUUUUUAUAUUCAAUUUGUUAAUUAAUGUUACGGCUCUUUGUUUCCUUUUUUAUUAAUUAUUCUUUAAUCCUUUUUUCAUUAUCUAAAACCGGUUUUCCAUAGAUAUCCUUAGAUUGUCAAAUUGUCGUUUUGUGAGUUCUAAAAUGGAGCCAAAUUAAAGGGGUUUUGUUGUUGGGGUUUUUGCAUGAUCAAGCACAAGCGGCUCACGUAUGUGAUCUUGUUUUUACGUGCACAAUAUUUUGGAAUGUGGACUACUCAUAAAAAUUGCUCUAUUUUAUACAUGCAAGUGGAAUCAAAGACAACUUGGUACGCAUUGGUGAAGAUGUUGGAUAGAUACGAACCAAGAUCCGGAAAAUAAUUAGAUGAGUUAUUAUUAUCAUAAAUUAAGAUUAGAAAACGAAUUUAUGGUAUUGGAAAUACUAUAAGCACUUUAGACAAUAAUUGAUAUCACAAAUGAUCAAAAGUUACUAGGGAUCGUCAUGAAUUAUGUGUUGUCAUAAAAUCUAUAUAUUUUUGUGUCUAUCUUUUUUUUCACGUGAUAUUAAUAUAUAAUACAUUCUAAAAGUGAAUGUCAGUCAGGUAGUGGUUGAGUUAGUUCAAAAAUUUCAACAUAUUUGGUUUUAUUUCUCAAUAUAACAAUAAAUACUCUUGUCAGAAAAAUAGUUAUGAGAGAAGGCUCAGCUAUUUUAUAUAUAAAUAAUAAACCCAUUUUAAUUCUGAUUUCUUCAUUUAAAGAAAAUACUUCUCCAUCUUUCAAGUCAACCCAAAAGAAAAAAAAAAAUACAAAAAGAAAGGCGGCAGAAAGCAUAACGGCUAUAAUACCAUCCGCCGACUCAUUCAUAAAUCAGCCAAUACUCAAUAGCCACGUGUACAAAAAGAUCAUUAGUUUUCCGAUUGUACACCUCCAGACUUUCCCUCUAUUUUCAAGCCCUCCUCCUGUCCUGCUUUAACAGAGGCCCGUUCACGCAUACUUUCACUGACCGUGGAAAGUGAACGAGAUUAAGACCAACCCUUCUGCGAAAGCAUAUUGGGACGCGUAUUAACUGUUAAAGACACUUUCACAAAUCCCACAUCGAAACCAAGUGCUAAAUAAUCGCCCAACAGCUUGAAUAAAAAAAGCCUCUGGAACCGUGCUUCCCCAUUCAGUAUUUAGCUCAGCCUUGACAAGACCUAUGAAAUUAAACACUGCCGGCUCUCUUUCCUUUGAGAAUAAUUAAACACCGCCGGCUCUCUUUCCUUGUAUUUUGAGAAGUAUUUAUUUAAAGUUUUGUUAACCGGAAGAGAUGGUGGUGGAUCAAGUCGGAUCGACGAAGAUCGAACAAAAUCAAAUGGAAUUGGAUCGCUACCCAGCGAUGAAGCGGAUUCGAGAGGAGUAUAGUAAGAUUGAAUCCAAACCCCCCGACGAUGGAGUCGGAUCGACGCAGAUCGAACAGAAUCAAAUGGAAUUGGAUCGCUACCCGAAGAUGAAGCGGAUUCGUGGGAUUGAAUCCAAACCCUCCGAUCGUGUCGGAUCGACGCAGAUCGGACAAAAUGAAACGGAAAUCGGUUUGCGGAAAACUACCAUCUCAAACUGUCUGUCUCGGCUUGAAGAGGAGUACAGAGAGAUUAAAUCCAAGCCCUCCGACGAUUUUGACUGCCGCAUGCUCGAGCGGAACCCAUAUGAAUGGCAAUUUGGAAUCAGAGGCGCUAGUGGCACUGAAUUCGAGAAUGGGAUUUAUCAUGGGGUGCUCCGGUUUAGGAAGAAUUACCCAUUGAAGCCUCCUUCAAUCUCGCUUUUGACGGAAAAUGGUCGCUUCAAAACCAACACCAAGAUCAGGAUAAAGCGACUGAAUGAUUGGCAGCCAUCAUGGGAGGUGCGAGAUGCUUUACAUGCACUUAUCGAUGAAAUGCCCACCUACCCAGAUGGUUUAUUGGGUUCAGUAGAAUACAAUAAGGAAGAAAGGCGUGAUCUGGCCAGGAAAUCUCGUGAAGCAGCCCCAAAAUAUGGCACUUCUGAACGUCAGAAGUUAAUUAAUGAUAUUCAUAAAUAUCUGCUAAACAAGUCACCAUCUGAUCCUGUUACUCAACUUCCUCAACUGAGCCCCGCACAAACCUCCAACGGCACAGGCGGUGGCUAUGUCGUCAACGUUAGUGGGAAUAUAUUUCAUGCUACCAAUUCCAACGGGGUAGGAAUUUUGGGUUCUAUGAAUGAGUUCUCCGACGAAGGCCACAAGCCCAAGAAGGUUAAACUUUCUUGGCCAGAACUUUUUUGGCGAAGAAAGCAGAACUAGACGUCUGUAGCGUAUGCCUCUUUUUGUUGUAGCUUCUCUCAUGUACAACUAAAUUGAAAUUGAAAAUGUGCAUUCUAGUUUAAUGAAUAUUCUUGACUCUUCUUGCAUUUAUUCUUCUUUCAUAUCAAGUUAAAACCUCUCUGCUUCUAGUUAAUGGAUACCCAAGGCCUUAUUUCGAUGGAUCCAGGAAAAAUAAUCUUUGGGCAAUGAAUACUCAAAUAUCCUGUCUGCUACUUUUUUUUAGUCAAAUAAAAUUUGUAAUAUCGCUCGUCGGGAGGGAGACUGAAUAUUCAUUGAAAAAAAGGGCCCAUCAUCAUCCGCCUGCAAACCAGCAGAUGGUGAAAUGGAAAAUGGGUGGUCCCCUAACUCACAAAUUGAUUCACAACCACGAACUCAUCGCUUCAAUAGCAACGCGAACGAGAGUAAAAAAGUCAAACACAAAACCAGCUGAUAUCUGUUGCGUAAAACCGCACCUUCAAAUUUCCAAUAGAUAUUGUUGCCCAAUAUAAUCUCAAAAAUCACGCCUGUGCUGUUCUUUUGUUACACUCUUUAAGUAUAAUGGUUGUCGUAGUUUACAUUUUCUGGACAUUGCUGAUAAACAAUAGUUCGACGUUACAAAAGAAUACAAGAUUUACUAUGAUCGCACCUCCACCUUUGAAUCUGGAGGGAAGCAGUUGGUUAGCUGAAUAUUGAGAAAAAGAAGUCGCUGAUCCUGAAGCAUCACUCGCUCAGGCUAGGAGGUGCAUCUCUGGAUGCUCGCUUCGGUACGCUUGUUGCCAUUUCUGCAUCUACAUUAGUACAUAAAGUGUGCAUAAAUUAGAAAUUGCAAUUGACAAUCCAGGAAAACCACAGGUAACAGAGCCUCCACUUCACCUAUUUGAGUAAUAAAAACAAUCAGACGACGUUCCAAUAUUAUUUGCAUAAACAUGUCUUACUAGGUGAUUGCCGUUGAAUAUAAACAAGGGCAGACAACUUUGAUUGUUACAUCAGUCUAUAAUAAAAAGGGAAAAGCUUCGCUCCUAACAUACCUGUUUCAAGAAGCUUUAAGAUUACACUAGCAAAAGGUGCCUGCGCGAUGUUGUGAGUUUUAAAAUUGCCUGAAAUGUGUAUAAAGCAAUGAAAAUAGGCAGGGAACAUCUCAACUACUCAAUUGCCAAAACACUCAAAAGGAUUUACCAACAUGUUCAAAUAUUGUAAUCAUCUAAACCUAUCACUACAACAACAAAUUAACACCAACCAAUUGUCAAUUGAUGCCAUUGGCUAAUUCCUAUGCUCUAUUCACAAAACUUAAAACAAUUAAUUGAAAUUUCAGCCUAGAAACUCACCCAUUGCUUAACAGAACUGAAAACACCAACCAAACCGCUCUAUCCAAAGCAACGAAAGACCACCUGCAAAAUAUCAAAAGAAAACAUGGUUUUAAAAAAAAGAAGAAGAAAAAGGAAGAAAAAACAGCAAAAUCGGAGAAGAAAUUAGCUUGAGUAUUUUAUGCAUGCACAAUCUUUUCAUUAAACCAAAAAAUUAGCUUGAGCAAAAUCUGUACGGAAAGAAACCACAGGGAAAAUGUAUGUAAUUGAGUUCAUUACCUCUUCAACAUUGUCAAAGAAUAGCAACACCGAAGGAGAUGUAUCCUGCGUAUCCAUUCCAGUCCCUAGCAGCUGCAAAGAGUAGAAGCAUGGCCAAAUUAUUAGCCCAUGAAAAGGAAAAAAACAAUAGAACCAAACUCUGCAUUCUGAAAUUAGGAUAUACAAACUUUUUUAGUUUUCAAUAAGUCUCCAUUCAACGCAAAAAUCAGCAAAAAUCAGCUUGGUAAAUCAAACCCACAAACAAAAAAAAUUAUGAAUUUUAAAUUUUCUGAAUUCUUUCUCAUCAUCACUAAUGUCCACAAACAGAAUUCCAAUUUAGAAGUCAGAUUUUCAAAUCCCACAUAUAUUUCCUAAACCAGUCUUCUUUAAGUCAACUAUGCUAAAUCAUUGCAAUCAGUUCCUAGAAUCACACUCCCAAAUUUUCUUUCCCCUUACCAAAACAAAAAUUAUCAAAUUCAAAUCCCCAGUCCCAUAAACCAGUAUAAGAACGAAUUUGAAUUAAAACCAUGUAGUAAAAGAACGAACAUAUCUUUAAACAGAGCUACCCAAAUAGCAGCAUAUCCUGCUUACCAAAACAGAGCUAUCCUAAACCCUGUAACAAAAGAACCAGCAUAUCCAAAUACCGAUUUCAGGGUUUACCAACUAAUUUUUAAUAACCAAACAGAAAACCUUACCAAAAGCAAUCAUAUAGUAUUUCAAUAACUAAAUUGUUUAACCUGAUUUCAUGAAAAUAAUAACACAAUCAAAUCAAUUUCAGUAUUUGGAUAAAAUUUGCAAAUCAAUAACACAGACCCACCAUGAGGAAAAAUUAGGGAUUUGAACUUUUAGGGCAGCAAAUUAAAACAGGUCUUAUAGUUUAAUCAAAUAAGAUCCAAGAUAUUAGUAACAACAAAAUUGAAAAAAAGAGCAACAAAAAUCGAAUGGAAAGAUGAAGCAAUAUUUACUUACAGAUCAGUGAGAGGAAGAGACUGAAACAGAGAGAAAGCUGGAGUUCGAUCUGAAGAAGAAGACCAACACACGCCACUCCUAUAAAGUCGAAGCCUCCAAAUAAUCUCCAACAGUAGACCGACCUCUUCCAUCAUUGCCCCGCAAUCAGGCCAACCAAACUCAGCAUCUGAUACAACGAAGGCUCCAAGUCGUUACAAUCGAAGGACAGGAGAGCAAACGGGAAGAGCAGAAACUAAAUAACCAAGUCAUUUACUGGAAAAGAAGAGAGAGAAAGGCUGAAACAAAGAGGAAUUUGUUGAACCUGAAAAGCAAAAGGAAAAGCAGAUGGCUCCGUAAAAAAGUAGAAGCCUCCAUAUGGACAUCGAAGAACCUAAACAAAGAACAAUGAGAACGAUGAACAAAAUUUCAGAGCGAACAAAACGCUCGCAGCGGAGGAGAGAAAGGAAGAGAGGAGAGAGAGGGUUGCGAUGAAGGAGAAGAGGUUUUCCAUCCCUCAGCGACUCUAACGAAGAGAAGAGAACAGAGCUGGAGGGCAAAACGGCUAAUUCACUGCUCAUAAGUCAACUCAAGAAAGCAGACCAUCACUUAAGCGGGGGCAAAACCGUCACUUUACUAUUCCUAAGCUACAGCAAUGGCGUUGACUAAGCUCCAACUUUACUUUUCAUCCAUCACAUUAUUUUGUUGUUACAAUGAUACUUCAAUUAGGUCUCAUAUGACAUCAUUCGUCUCUACUCCCACCCUCCACCCCAGAUCUGAUCCGAGAAGCAGAGCCAUCUUUUAUUUUGCUUUUGGAUUUGUGAAGAGAAAUUGGUUCAAUCUUUGAAGGAGGCUGAAAUGAUGGUUCAUAAUGACAUUCUUACCAAAUUAAUAGUCUGCUAGCAAGUAGAAGUAUUUUCUUUAAACUCAAAUUGCAAGUAUAUAUAUAUACAGAGAGCUUCUAUUUGAGGGAUCCCUCAAUAGAAGGGGACUGUAUACAUAUAUAUAUAUAUAUAUAUAUAUAUUUUUUUUUUUUGGUUUUGCCAAAGGGACCUCUGGAAAUUGAAACAUAGAAAAUAUUGCCAUUUGUGGACUAUAACAAGCCUCCAUUACUUACAAAACCGACGCCAACUCCACAGCAUUUGUGGUACUUACAAGUCUGGCUUUGCCAAUUCUUCCCAAGCCGAGAAUGCCAACUGUUUUUCCAGAGAACCAAAACGAAUUUAAGAAAGGAAAACCAUUACAAAAGAUACAACUCUCUCUCUCUCGCUUUUAGGUUGGGGUUCUAGUUCAGGGUUCAGGGUACGUUUGGGGGGGAAGAGAGAAAUUGGGGCUGGGAAGAAAUAUGGGUAGGUGAAGAAAUUGGUGGGGGGAGAAAAAAUCUGGGUGAGAAAUCGCCUGAGGAAGAAAUCAGGGAUGGAGAGGGGGAGAGAGAGAUACAUAAAAUUUAUUUUUACAAUUUUUUGUGUGAAAAGACAUUUUUGCCCAUGCCAAGUAGAAGUUGUUAUUGCCAUGUCAUUAUUUUUAACGGAAAAGUUGACAUAAUUGACAGAAAAGACGGUUUCUGAAACUGAAAGCAUAAUUAAAGUACUAUGGUAACAACAAAACAAUGUGAGGGACGAAAAGUAAAGUUGAGACUUAGUCCAAGGACCAUUGCUACAAUUUUGCCUAUAAUUUUUUAGAUAGGUCAUAUCUACUUUCCUUCUUCUACAAUUUUUUCCAUGUUGUGAAGCUCAGCCUUCAACAUUGAUUCCUACAUAUAUGUCACAACAUUCAAAGAUAGAUAUAUAUCAAUAAAAGUGAGCAAAAUUGGCGGUGAUUUCACCUUAUGUCAAAUAUCAGUCACCUCACCUUUGCCAGUCCAUCAGCAGUUUUAUUUUCGGAUAUGCUCAGUUCAUACACAUUCUAUAAUUCACAACUUUCAAAAAGAAUUUCCAAACAACUGAAAUCAACCAAGCCAAAAGAAUAUGAGAGAAACUUUCAUAUAACAGGUAUAGCUCUUGUGCUAUCUCCGACUAAUAAUGCAAUGACACGUAAGAAGUAGAUAAAUUGAACAUUCACAUUCACUUAAUGUAAUUAUGAUUACAAUGCUUGUAUAACAUACAAGUAAAUGUUAUAGGAGUGACAGCUGUACAAGAUCUGUUGCAACAGAUUUAACAAAAGAUAGAGUUAGUUCUAACUAAUCACGUGAGCUUGACUCAAGUCUUUGACUAAGAUGAGUGGCUAGGAUUGUUUUCAGUAAUAGCUCUAUCAGCCUCCCUCAAGCUGAAGGGUGCAGUGCAAACUAAGAGCUUGGAACACAGAAACUGAAAUCGAGCAGUAGAGAGAGACUUAGUGAAGAUGUCAACCAGCUGAUAUGAGGAGCUCACAAUUUUUAAACGAACAUAACCAAGAAGAACUAAUUCUUGAAUAAAAUGGUAAUCAACCUCAAUGUGUUUCGUCCUUGCAUGAAAGACCAGGUUUGAAGCCAAGGCCAUAGCUGACUCAUUGUCACACUGCAAAGUUGGUGGGUCAACAAGGUAUAGACCAAUAUCUCUGAAAAGUUUGGAGAUAUAGACUAACUCAGCAGCAGCGAGAGCAAUACCACGAUACUCUGCUUAAGUAGAACUGCGAGCAACAGUGGGUUGCUUCUUAGCAGACCAAUAAAUGAGAUUGGAACCAAAAAACAUACAGUAGCCACUUGUGGACCGGCGAUCAAUGGGACAACCAGCCCAAUCAGCGUCAGAGUAGGCGUGAAGAUGAAUGGAACCUUGCUGAAACCAAAGAUCAUGCUCCAAAGUACCUUUCAAAUAUCGGAGAAUACGCUUAACAACUCCCAAAUGAGACUCACGAGGCUGAUGCAUAAACUGGCAUACUUGAUUGACAGCAAAAGCCAAGUCACGCAUGGUUCAUGUAAGGUACUGCAAAGCACCAACAAUGGACCGAUAAAAGGUAGGAUCGGCUAAGAGGGGACUAGAAUUGUCCAACUUAAAGGAUCCAAGAGGAGUGGCGCAGGCUUUGGCUCCUAAGAAGUCAGUCUUAUGAAGAAGAUCAUAAGGUUACUUGGUUUGAUUCAGAAAGAGACCACGAUCUGUUCGAGUAACCUAGAGACCAAGAAAGUAGUGUAGAGGACUAAGGUCUGUAACAGGAAAUUGAGAGCUGAGAUGUUGAAUAACUUGCUGGCAGGCAGAAGGAGAAGAGCCAGUAACGAGAAUAUCAUCAACAUAAACCAAGAUAAACACAAGAUCAGGUCCAGCUUUAAUAAACAAAGAGGUAUCAUCCUGAGAAGACUGAAAGCCUAAACUGAUCAAAGCUUGAAACAACUCAUCAUACCAAGUGAUAGGACCCGCUCCGAAUUUUCCGAAACCCGAGACGAAUUCUGUGGAAUUUCUGACAUCACCCCGAUGUCAGGCCCACUUGCUAAAAUUGUAGUCUCUUUUUUCCAAAAGGAAUAAGGGCAUGAGACUUUCUGCUAAAAUUUUGACAAAAUCUCCCCUGUAAUUUGAACAUUUUCCAAAAUUUUAACCUGCACAAAAUUCACAAUUUUAACCUGCACAAACUCUCAGGCCAUGGCUUUUAAUUAGAUAUGCAAUUGUCAUCAGUUACAUCUUAAGCAGAGGUUUGAAUGGGUCAAAUAUGUCGGAGCUGGACAUUACAUUACUUAGUGCACAAGUUGGUCAAGGUCAAAUUUGUAUACUUUCUUUCUUUUUUAUAUUCACACAUGGAGUCUUCUGGGUAGGUCGUUUGGUGGGCCCAACUUGGAUUAUGCCGCGUUCACAGUAAUUGGGUCAUGGGUGGUAUAUUAUAGCCAUUCUGGUCUAUUCCAUGACAAUUUGCUUUUAGUUAAGUUGCACAAAUCCUCUUUCGUUUCGAUAAUGUAGCUCAUAUGUCAACGGUGCUCGUAUGACAAAAAAAUAAAGUAAAUAAUAGAUGGUAGUGGUUUUAUGACCUACAAAUUUUGUUAAAAUUUUGAUGAAGAGUAGUGCUUUUUUUUGUUAGAAAAUACUUUUAAUAAUUUAAAAAGUGAUCACAAUGUAUAGCAGUGGUUUUAUGACUCAUAAAUUCUUUUAAAUUUUCUACUGACGAGUAAUUUAGUGUCAAAAAAUACUUUUAAUUCUUUCAGAAGCAGUUUCAAACAAAUUCUUAACCCUAAUCGAAUUUUCAGAGUUAAAAGAGUCAUUUUAAACCUUAUGUGUAAACCUAAGCAAAUAGACUGAAAUUGGUAACAAAAAAAGACAUAAUUAAGAGCGUUCUUCGCUAUAAAAGAGUAGCAUUCACAUACAAUCCCACACUUGACAAUGACAUGGAUAAUUUGUGCAAUUUAACCCUUUUGUUUUUAUGUAUUUUUAAAAAGCAUGGGUGUGAUGAUAAGAGCAAGACACUAGCGUGAGCCACACGGUGCGAAGUUGGGGGGGAAGUGGGACCCAUAUGCCUGUUCACACAUACUCCCACCGACCGACCUAAGCAAUAGAUCCCUAUCUACAUUAUGUGUUGGUGUUUCUUAAUCCAUUUUUAUAUUCAAUUUGUUAAUUAAUGUUACGGCUCUUUGUUUCCUUUUUUAUUAAUUAUUCUUUAAUCCUUUUUUCAUUAUCUAAAACCGUUUUCCCAUAGAUAUCCUUAGAUUGUCAAAUUGUCGUUUUGUGAGUUCUAAAAUGGAGCCAAAUUAAAGGGGUUUUGUUGUUGGGGGUUUUUGCAUGAUCGUUUAAGAGCACAAGCGGCUCACCUAUGUGAUCUUGUUUUUACGUGCACAAUAUUUUGGAAUGUGGACUACUCAUAAAAAUUGUUGCAUUUCAUACAUGUAAGUGGAAUCAAAGACAACUUGGUACGCAUUGGUGAAGAUGUUGAAUAGAUAGGAACAAAGAUCCGGGAAAUAAUUAGAUGAGUUAUUAUUAUCAUAAAUUACGAUUAGAAAACGAAUUUAUGGUAUUGGAAAUACUAUAAGCACUUUAGACAAUAUUUGAUAUCACAAAUGAUCAAAAGUUAUUGGGAUCGUCAUGAAUUACGUGUUGUCAUAAAAUCUAUAUAUUUUUGUGUCUAUCUCUCUCUUUACGUGAUAUUAAUAUACAAUACAUUCUAAAAGUGAAUGUCAGUCUGGUAGUGGUUGAGUUAGUUCAAAAAUUUCAACAUAUUUGGUUUUAUUUCUCAAUAUAACAAUAAAUACUCCUGUCAGAAAAAUAGUUAUGAGAGAAGGCUCAGCUAUUUUAUAUAUAAAUAAUAAACCCAUUUUAAUUCUGAUUUCUUCAUUUAAAGAAAAUACUUCUCCAUCUUUCAAGUCAACCCAAAAUAAUAAAAAAAAUACAAAAAGAAAGGCGGCAGAAAGCAUAACGGCUAUAAUACCAUCUGCCGACUCAUUCAUAAAUCAGCCAAUACUCAAUAGCCACGUGUACAAAAAGAUCAUUAGUUUUCCGAUUGUACCCCUCCAGACUUUCCCUCUAUUUUCAAGCCCUCCUCCUGUCCUGCUUUAACAGAAUCCUCUUUGUUUCUUUAACCUCGUCGUGAUCAUGGAUCCUCCCACACGGAAACCCAACCGCCUAUGGAACAUCCUCAUCCGAAUCCUCACCUUCGGUGUCCUGGUCCUGGCCGUCCGAUUCGCUUACGUCAUCACACUCGCCGGCGAGUCGUGCGGCUACAACGACUUCUGCUUCUUCCCCAACAACCUCAAACUCCGCUUCGGCGGCGGCGAGGCCUUACGUGUUCGUGGAUCCGCCCAGCCACGUGUUCCUGGGCUCUGGACCACCAAGAAGUGGCGCAGAACAGUCGAUUACUACUCGGCGAUUUUCCAAGGCCUGAUCGCCGAUGGGUUUCUCUCGCCCAAUUUCAAAACCCUCUGCGUCGAAACCCUAGCCGGCCAGGACGUCCUGGCACUUCAAGAAAACGGCUUCAUUGACUCGAUUGGAGUCUCCAAGAACGCUUCUCCGCCGUUGGUCGUUGCCGGCGAGGCCCACCGCCAACCGUUUAAUGAAGCCACGUUCGAUUUUGAGUUCUCGGGUCUGGACCGGUCGGGUCGACCCGUGGAUUUUUCUGAUGAGCUCUGUCGGACUCUGAAACCGGGCGGGUUCUUCGUGGCUCACAUUGUGGCUAAAGAUUCGUACAGCGUCAAUUCUUUUCUCCAAUUGUUCAAUUGCUGUAGACUCAUUCGGUCGCGCGAGAUCGACGGCCUGGAAACGACGUCGGUUCGCGAGGUUGUGAUGAGGAAAGAGGCUGAAUCUUCUGGUGGCAAUUCCGGUUAUAAAUGCUCGGUUCCAGGGUAUAAGCGGGAAAUAGUGAGAAAGGCAGAGGCUUUGAUAGAGCAAGAGCCACUGAAACCUUGGAUUGCAUUGAAAAGGAACUUGAAGAAGGUAAAGUACUUAACUUCAAUGGUGGACAUUAGCUAUAAGCAGAGGUACGUUUAUGUUGAUGUUGGGGCUCGUAGCUAUGGGUCUAGUAUAGGAAGUUGGUUCAAGAAACAGUACCCAAAACAGAACAUUAGCUUUGAGGUGUAUGCAAUUGAGGCUGAUAAGGCAUUUCACGAAGAGUAUAGAACAAAGAAAGGGGUGUCUCUUUUGCCUUAUGCGGCGUGGGUGAGGAAUGAGACCUUGUUCUUUGAGAUCACAAGAGACCCAAGUAAGAAAACUGUGGAUAAAGGUAGAGGAAUGGGGAGGGUUCAACCGGUGAGGCCUUCCUCGAAUUAUGGGGAUAAUGUGGAUAAGAUUGAGGGGUUUGAUUUCGCUGAUUGGUUGAAGAACACGGCUUCGGAGAGAGAUUUUGUGGUGGUGAAGAUGGAUGUGGAAGGGACUGAGUUUCAUUUGAUUCCCAGGUUGAUUGAGACUGGUGCCAUUUGUUUGAUUGAUGAGAUUUUUCUUGAGUGCCAUUACAAUAGAUGGCAGAGAUGUUGUCCGGGUCAGAGGAGCCCCAAGUUCAAGAAGACGUAUGGUCAAUGCUUGGACCUGUUCAAUAAGCUCAGAGACACUGGAGUUCUUGUACAUCAAUGGUGGUGACUGGUGACCUGUGUAUGGUAAUUGACUAAUAGUUGACUUGUAGUCUUGCAGGAAGCAUACUAGUUAGAGUUCUUUCUAUUAGGUGUUGCUUGAUUCUUUGUAGUGUGUAGAUCGGAUUCUUGUUUCUUUGUUUCUCGAUUCUUUUAUUAGUUCAAAUGAAAAAUAUUCAAUGAGAUGGUUCAUUCUUUUCCCCUGAUUUGGCGUCUCAAGUUUUUGCUUAAAUUUUGUACUGAUGCAGUAUGUAUUUUGCAACAUAAUGCUUAUGUGAUAUAAGAUGAGAACAGAUUUGGGUAUUUCUGGCCCAGAAACUAGUUAAAUAUGAUUACACAUUGAAGGACAAGAGUGGAAACUUGUUGAUGGUUACCUGAAGCUAAAUAAGUAAAUAAUCGAAUAUAAAGCAACCAUUAAGGCUCACUUUCUUUCUGCUCUCUCUCUCUCUCUCUCUCUCUCUCUCUCUCUCUCUCUCUCUCUCUCUCCCUCUCCCUCUCUGUGUUUGGCAUGGUUCAGAUUCCCUUGAUAAUUCGUAAUUAUCACGAGAAUCUGAUGGUUCAAAUCACUUCUAAAAUGUAACCACUAAGAGACGUUGAUCACAUAGUUGGUAAGUAUAUGACUGUACUGUUGGAUGCCGAUAUGUCAGCUGGGGAUCACAUCUUAGCUUAAAUUGAGGAAAGCCUGAUUGAGUGGAGAGGGGCGCCAUUCUCCCGAAUAUUAUGGAAGGUCUCUGUAUUCGCAUGGCUAACUUUGAUAGUUACAUUAUAUUCUAUUAAUAGGUUUGAUGAUCUCUCUCUUUCUCUCAGCAUCUGGUCUCAUUUUCUUUUCAUUCAUCUCUUUCUUUUUCUUUCUUUUUCCCUCUCCCUAUUCCGUUUGUUGUUUCUUUUUCCUUAUGUUCUAUGACAAGCUAUCGUUUUCUGUAAGCCACAACAAUGAGUUUGGGAACCGUCACUGGGCCAUACACCGAAGAAUUUUUGGUGUGCCAAUCUAUCCACAAAAUAUGCCCCAAAAGUUUAUGGCAUGACAUCCAUAUUUUUGAUUAUGCCUUACCUGUUCUAUUGGUCCAGACCAUUCUAAUUUUCUUUGUUUCAAGAUUUAUCUACUUUGUAUUGAGGCCUGUUCAACAAAGUAUGAUGAUGGCACAACUUUUGGUGAGUUCUCUCUCUCUCUCUCUCUCUCUCUCUCUCUCUCUCUCUCUCUCUCUCUCUCUCUCUCUCUCUCUCUCUCUCCCAAUAGUAUACACCAACAUGUAUUGCAUGACACAAAAUUUAUAAAAGGGAGAGUCAUAUUUGUAUAUAUCAAGGAGAAAGAGAAANNNNNNNNNNNNNNNNNNNNNNNNNNNNNNNNNNNNNNNNNNNNNNNNNNNNNNNNNNNNNNNNNNNNNNNNNNNNNNNNNNNNNNNNNNNNNNNNNNNNGAAAGAGAAAGAUAGAAAGACGCAAGUCAAGCCAUGUACUACUGUUAUGCAUCCAAGUUUGAGUGAAUUUCAUUUAGUUCUUAAUGUUUCAAUUUGAUCAGUUUAUAACCCCUAUUGUUUGCACAUUGUGGCAAUGUUAAUUGUUAAUAUCUGUUUAAAUGGUGGUCACCGAUCUAUCUUACUUAAAUUAGAAUUUAAAAGGAGUGUGGAUAUUGCUACAAUCUGUAAAUGUUAGAGUAAAUUGAUCAAAUUAUAAUAUUACAGACCAAAAGUGAAGUUCAGUCAAAAUAUAUCGAUGCAAACUUGUAAUUGACUUCAUAUAUUAAUUACUUCACAAGUUUCUCAUGCUGGGGUAAUGCAGGGUAGACAGCUUCAUGUAAACUUGCUACAACAGUAAGACAAUUGCAAGAGACAUAGGAUUCAUCUAUCUCAAGAUAGGAAUGCCUACAAAGUAUGACAGUAGCAAUUAACUCUUCCGCCAGAUCGAUUGCCCAGAAGGCAAAUGAUUAAACAGUUUUCAGCCUUGUAAAUAGAUGAUUGCGAACUUAUCAAAAGCUUGAGGCUGUUUUGCUAAUCCUCUUUUUUAAACUAUGAAUACAAGAUACCCAUUUUACACAACUAGAAUGAUCCAAAUUGCUUUGCCUGCGAUUGUUCUUGUUCUUUUGCUCUGCUGUAUAUGUCUUGAUUGUAGUGAUGUGAUGA
rnacentral:lncRNA from 1 species